GGUAAGAUGGCCGAGUGGUUAAGGCGAGCGGUUUAAGUUUAUGCUUAAAAUCCCGCUUGACGAGAGUCUCGUGGGUUCGAACCCCACUCUUACCA
rfam:Neosartorya udagawae DNA, contig:Aud0018, strain: IFM 46973.